ensembl:lncRNA
CGCACGCACAGGCCCACGUUAUCUCAACCUAUCAGCUGCUUUAGAGACACUACAAUCUCCAAGGACAACACGACCAGGAUGCAAGUACACAGGGCUGCAAAUGACUAAACAAGUAAACAGAGAGGAAAGACGUGACGGCAGCAGUCCUUCCAGCCUCUCCGCCUCGCCGGACGCAGCCGAGCGUUCACUCGCUGCCGUUUGCUCGCUCGUUACUGAACAGAAGUUCAUGUUGCCUUCAGAACUGAGAACGCCUGUCUGCUGAUAAUCACAACCCGCCUGGAUCCUUCUUCAUGUUCCCAGUGCUUCUUUUUAACAGCAGUAAGGAAGACGCCGGGUUGGUGGAUUCAUCCCCCCAUAACUCCCCAUUACCCCCCUUUGGAUGUGACACUUUGAGCCAUGCUGCUGCUGCUGCUGCUGCUCUGCCUGCAAACCUCACAGCAAGAACAGACUCCUCCUGGUCGGUGUGACAUCUCAGACAGGUUGGACGUUCACACCUCCUGCUCUUCUUGUGCCGCCAUCAACAGGUGCCCCCCCGGCUUCCGCAGCGCGGGCACCGCCAACUGCAGGUAAGCACCAACCGCGAGCUGGGUAGAACGAGCAGAGUGCAGGUACGAGUCGACUGCAGGUACGAGAAGACUACAGGUACGAGUAGAAUGCAGGUACGGGUAGACUACAGGUACGAGUAGAAUACAGGGACGAGUCGACUACAGGUACGAGCAGAGUGCAGGUACGAGUAGAAUGCAGGUACGAGCAGAGUGCAGGUACGAGUCGACUGCAGGUACGGGUAGACUACCGGUACAAGUAGACUGCAGGUAGGAGCAGAGACUGCCUACCUGCAGGCCUUCAGAGCAGCGCAGGAUUGUUCCACACUAUCCACACACAGACUUUAGCUCAGUAAAUGGUUUGUAGUGGUACUAGUAGUGGUAGUACUAGUAGUGGUAGGAGUAGUAGUAUGAAGCUUCAUCUCAUGUUCUGUGUGUGCUGCAGUUA